rnacentral:rRNA from 1 species
GACGAACGCUGGCGGCGUGCUUAACACAUGCAAGUCGAACGGAAAGGCCCUGCUUUUGUGGGGUGCUCGAGUGGCGAACGGGUGAGUAACACGUGAGUAACCUGCCCUUGACUUUGGGAUAACUUCAGGAAACUGGGGCUAAUACCGGAUAGGAGCUCCUGCUGCAUGGUGGGGGUUGGAAAGUUUCGGCGGUUGGGGAUGGACUCGCGGCUUAUCAGCUUGUUGGUGGGGUAGUGGCUUACCAAGGCUUUGACGGGUAGCCGGCCUGAGAGGGUGACCGGCCACAUUGGGACUGAGAUACGGCCCAGACUCCUACGGGAGGCAGCAGUGGGGAAUAUUGCACAAUGGGCGGAAGCCUGAUGCAGCGACGCCGCGUGCGGGAUGACGGCCUUCAGGUUGUAAACCGCUUUCGCCUGUGACGAAGCGUGAGUGACGGUAAUGGGUAAAGAAGCACCGGCUAACUACGUG